UACGGGAGGGGCAAGCGUUAUCCGGAAUCACUGGGCGUAAAGCGUCUGUAGGUGGUUUAAUAAGUCAACUGUUAAAUCUUGAGGCUCAACUUCAAAAUCGCAGUCGAAACUAUUAGACUAGAGUAUAGUAGGGGUAAAGGGAAUUUCCAGUGGAGCGGUGAAAUGCGUAGAGAUUGGAAAGAACACCAAUGGCGAAGGCACUUUACUGGGCUAUUACUAACACUCAGAGACGAAAGCUAGGGUAGCAAAUGGG
rnacentral:rRNA from 1 species